rnacentral:rRNA from 1 species
ACUCCUACGGGAGGCAGCAGCUAAGAAUAUUCCGCAAUGGACGAAAGUCUGACGGAGCGACGCCGCGUGGAUGAAGAAGGCCGAAAGGUUGUAAAGUUCUUUUGUUGGGGAAGAAUAACCAUGGGAGGGAAUGCCCGUGGGAUGACAUGAACCGACGAAUAAGCCCCGGCUAACUACGUGCCAGCAGCCGCGGUAACACGUAGGGGGCGAGCGUUGUUCGGAAUUACUGGGCGUAAAGGGCAUGUAGGCGGUCUUGUAAGCUUGGCGUGAAAGACCACGGCUCAACCGUGGGAUUGCGUUGAGAACUGCGAGGCUUGAGUGACGGAGAGGGAGCUAGAAUUCCUGGUGUAGGGGUGGAAUCUGUAGAGAUCAGGAAGAAUACCAAUGGCGAAGGCAAGCUCCUGGCCGAUGACUGACGCUGAGGUGCGAAAGUGUGGGGAUCAAACAGGAUUAGAUACCCUGGUAGUC